AGAUGCACUUGGUUUGGUCCCUUAUUUUGGCUCUUCUCCCAGGUGGGGUCCUUCCUCCUCGAUGGAAAUGUCAACUUUUCCUGCACUGGUGAGGAACCUGGAGCAAGCCAUGGAUGGCCACAAGCAAACACGUCUACGGGUGAAGGCCAGAAGAGGAAGAAUGACAUCAUGAAGCCCAAGAGGGAAAGCAAAGCAAGCACCAAGCCAGCGCCAUGUGCAGGAUGGAACAGUGCUGGUGCCAGUCCUGGUGCCACAGACUGCCUCCU
rnacentral:lncRNA from 1 species